UGUGAUUCUGUCUCCCAUUCAUUCGUGUAGAACGUGAAGAAAAGGCAGUUGGGAUGGAAGGUGCAGAUGGUGCGACACACAAAGGCAUCGGGGGUGAUGACCUGGCUUACAUUCAGGUCUGCAAAGGCAGAGUGCUGGAAAAUAUCCAUGGGGCAACCUGUGAACUCAGCGGUGAACAUUCCUCAGUGACACAAUGCCCGAGUUUGCUUGUGUUUGUUUCAACAUAGUAACUAAGAUCCAUAGAGACCUGGAAAACAGCCCCAUGGAUGUGCUGAAAAUCAACAUGUCAGAAUGGUUGGAGCACCUCCAAAGCCACUGUCCCUCGUUCCCAGACAACAAUCAUCACUCGGUUUGUCAAGAAGCUCCCUGGAAAAUUCUGCUCACAGGGCUUAAGUUUAUCAGACCUGACUCCUGUUUUGCCUAGUGUUUCCAGCCCUUUCCUUGAGAGCAUGUGUCUACAGAAAGAGGAAGAAGGAAGAAAGGAGGGAGAAAGACAAAAGAGA
rnacentral:lncRNA from 1 species